rnacentral:rRNA from 1 species
UACGGAGGGUGCAAGCGUUAUCCGGAAUCACUGGGUUUAAAGGGUGCGUAGGCGGCUUGGUAAGUCAGAAGUGAAAGCUCACCGCUUAACGGUGGAACUGCUUUUGAUACUGCCAGGCUUGGAUCGGCGCGAGGCAGGCGGAAUGUGGCAUGUAGCGGUGAAAUGCGUAGAUAUCAUGAGGAAUACCGGUGGCGAAGGCGGUUCUCUGGUCCACAACUGACGCUGAGGUACGAAAGCUAGGGUAGCGAACGGG